rnacentral:rRNA from 1 species
AUUGAACGCUGGCGGCAUGCCUUACACAUGCAAGUCGAACGGCAGCACGGGAGCAAUCCUGGUGGCGAGUGGCGAACGGGUGAGUAAAGCAUCGGAACGUGCCCAGUCGUGGGGGAUAACGUAGCGAAAGCUACGCUAAUACCGCAUACGAUCUGUGGAUGAAAGCGGGGGACCGUAAGGCCUCGCGCGAUUGGAGCGGCCGAUGUCAGAUUAGGUAGUUGGUGAGGGAAAGGCUCACCAAGCCGACGAUCUGUAGCUGGUCUGAGAGGACGGCCAGCCACACUGGGACUGAGACACGGCCCAGACUCCUACGGGAGGCAGCAGUGGGGAAUUUUGGACAAUGGGCGCAAGCCUGAUCCAGCAAUGCCGCGUGCAGGAUGAAGGCCUUCGGGUUGUAAACUGCUUUUGUACGGAGCGAAAAGGCUUCCACUAAUACUGGGGGCUCAUGACGGUACCGUAAGAAUAAGCACCGGCUAACUACGUGCCAGCCGCCGCAGUAAUAC